GAUGAACGCUAGCGGCAGGCUUAAUACAUGCAAGUCGAGGGGUAACAUGGGUAGCAAUACCUGAUGACGACCGGCAAACGGGUGAGGAACACGUACGCAACUUUCCCUAAACUGGUGAAUAGCCCUCCGAAAGGAGGAUUAAUACACCGUAACUUAAUGAAGUGGCAUCACUUUAUUAAUAUAGCUCCGGCGGUUUAGGAUAGGCGUGCGCAUGAUUAGAUAGUUGGCGGGGUAACGGCCCACCAAGUCUACGAUCAUUAACUGGUGUGAGAGCACGACCAGUCACACGGGCACUGAGACACGGGCCCGACUCCUACGGGAGGCAGCAGUAAGGAAUAUUGGUCAAUGGACGAAAGUCUGAACCAGCCAUGCCGCGUGAAGGAUGAAUGCCCUCUGGGUUGUAAACUUCUUUUAUCUGGGACGAAAAAAGGUCAUUCUUGACCACUUGACGGUACCAGAGGAAUAAGCACCGGCUAACUCCGUGCCAGCAGCCGCGGUAAUACGGAGGGUGCAAGCGUUAUCCGGAUUCACUGGGUUUAAAGGGUGCGUAGGUGGGUGUA
rnacentral:rRNA from 1 species